rnacentral:rRNA from 1 species
AGGUAGUGACAAGAAAUAACAAUACAGGGCGAAUGUCUUGUAAUUGGAAUGAUGGUGACCCAAACCCUCACCAGAGUAGCAAUUGGAGGGCAAGUCUGGUGCCAGCAGCCGCGGUAAUUCCAGCUCCAAUAGCGUAUAUUAAACUUGUUGCAGUUAAAAAGCUCGUAGUUGUAUUUUUGCGUUAACGGUUUGACCAUUUGGUUGGUUAUUUCGUUUUCGCUUUUGGGAAUUUCCCUUUUUACUUUGAGAAAAUUAGAGUGUUUCAAGCAGACUUUUGUCUUGAAUACUUCAGCAUGGAAUAAUAGAGUAGGACUUUGGUUCUAUUUUGUUGGUUAUUGAACCUUAGUAAUGGUUAAUAGGAACG